GAUGAACGCUGGCGGCGUGCCUAAUACAUGCAAGUCGAGCGAACAGACGAGGAGCUUGCUCCUCUGACGUUAGCGGCGGACGGGUGAGUAACACGUGGAUAACCUACCUAUAAGACUGGGAUAACUUCGGGAAACCGGAGCUAAUACCGGAUAAUAUAUUGAACCGCAUGGUUCAAUAGUGAAAGACGGUUUUGCUGUCACUUAUAGAUGGAUCCGCGCCGCAUUAGCUAGUUGGUAAGGUAACGGCUUACCAAGGCAACGAUGCGUAGCCGACCUGAGAGGGUGAUCGGCCACACUGGAACUGAGACACGGUCAAGAAUCCUACGGGAGGCAGCAGUAGGGAAUCUUCCGCAAUGGGCGAAAGCCUGACGGAGCAACGCCGCGUGAGUGAUGAAGGUCUUCGGAUCGUAAAACUCUGUUAUUAGGGAAGAACAAAUGUGUAAGUAAAUAUGCACGUCUUGACGGUACCUAAUCAGAAAGCCACGGCUAACUACGUG
rnacentral:rRNA from 1 species